CUUAGAGAGCUUGCUUUCUCAAGCGAGUGGCGAACGGGUGAGUAACGCGUGAGGAACCUGCCUCAUACAGGGGGAUAACGAUUGGAAACGAUUGCUAAUACCGCAUAAGCGCACAGCUUCGCAUGAAGCAGUGUGAAAAACUCCGGUGGUACAAGAUGGACCCGCGUCUGAUUAGCUGGUUGGUGAGGUAACGGCCCACCAAGCCGACGAUCCAUAGCCGACCUGAGAGGGUGACCGGCCACAUUGGGACUGAGACACGGCCCAAACUCC
rnacentral:rRNA from 1 species